UGAUAGUCUCCCUGAGUGACACACAAUCUGAAGUGUACAGAUGCUUUGGAACGUGCGUGCAAAGUGUCUAACUUAAAAGCCAAUCUGUCAGUUAUUGUGCUUCUCUGAACUGCAAGCCUCGCCAGAACUGCCCCUAAUAAGCUUUUGUCAAAAUGCCUCUUUUACCACUUGCCUGAAACACAGUGAAUUGGACUCUCGCAUCUGACAGGAGAAGAUUUUGGAGCAUGGAGGGACAUCAAGUAGGAGAGAGCAGAAGCUGGGCAGGAGGCCGGCUACACAUCAGCAUGUGCAGAUGUAAUCAGAUGAUAAAACUGUUACUGAGUGACGAAGUUACUUGUUCCGAAGCCAGUAAAAUACUGAACCUGGAAUUUGCAACCAGAAAUUUUUGAAGCUGACAUCUACAUAUUUAAUUUAAUUCAUUGCAUAUUUCUUCAUUUUAAUCAGCUUUUGUUUUUUUUCUGAAGCCCAAGAAGGGGAAAUUGACUUGUCUUAUAUGGCAGGACUUUUUG
rnacentral:lncRNA from 13 species